UUGCUUCCUCAGCACAUAUACUGAAGAGAACAACACAGAAAAGCUUACCAUCGCCACUGUACAAGGAUGGUAUGCACCUCUCUGAAGAAUUCUAUUUGAAU
rnacentral:snRNA from 1 species